rnacentral:rRNA from 1 species
AGAUUGAACGCUGGCGGAAUGCUUUACACAUGCAAGUCGAGCGGCAGCGCGGGGCAACCUGGCGGCGAGCGGCGAACGGGUGAGUAAUGCAUCGGAACAUGUCCAUUCGUGGGGGGAUAGCCCGGCGAAAGCCGGAUUAAUACCGCAUACGCCCUUUGGGGGAAAGCCGGGGACCGCAAGGCCUGGCGCGAAUGGGUUGCCGAUGCCCGAUUAGCUAGUUGGCGGGGUAAUGGCCCACCAAGGCGAUGAUCGGUAGCUGGUCUGAGAGGAUGAUCAGCCACACUGGGACUGACGACACGGCCCAGACUCCGUACGGGAGCAGCAGUGGGAAUUUGGACAAGUCGGGGGACAACCCCGAUCCCGAGCCUAGUUCCCGAGUCGGAGUUGAA